rnacentral:lncRNA from 1 species
UAAGAGAGAUUUAACUAUUCAAAUCAAGAUGAACUAAUUUAAAGACCCAGUUUCAAAUUUGAUCAAAUUAUAAAAAAAGAUCAAAUUUUUGCUUCUGGGUUGUUGUAAAAAGCUUAAAAUCCGAAUCAAAUGAAAAACAGAAUCAGAUUAUAAAGCUCUUAAAUUUAAAGCUACCCAUUUCAGAAAAACGUUUAUACGAGGAAGUUGAAAGGGAAAGAAUCUCCGGUGGUUG